CACAAUGACUCUCGGCAACGGAUAUCUCGGCUCUUGCAUCGAUGAAGAACGUAGCGAAAUGYGAUACUUGGUGUGAAUUGCAGAAUCCCGUGAACCAUCGAGUUUUUGAACGCAAGUUGCGCCCGAAGCCAUUAGGCCGAGGGCACGCCUGCCUGGGUGUCACA
rnacentral:rRNA from 1 species